GACGAACGCUGGCGGCGUGCUUAACACAUGCAAGUCGAACGGAAAGGCCCUGCUUGCAGGGUACUCGAGUGGCGAACGGGUGAGUAACACGUGGGUGAUCUGCCCUGCACUUCGGGAUAAGCCUGGGAAACUGGGUCUAAUACCGGAUAGGAGCCAUUUUUAGUGUGAUGGUUGGAAAGUUUUUUCGGUGUAGGAUGAGCUCGCAGCCUAUCAGCUUGUUGGUGGGGUAAUGGCCUACCAAGGCGGCGACGGGUAGCCGGCCUGAGAGGGUGGACGGCCACAUUGGGACUGAGAUACGGCCCAGACUCCUACGGGAGGCAGCAGUGGGGAAUAUUGCACAAUGGGCGCAAGCCUGAUGCAGCGACGCCGCGUGGGGGAUGACGGCCUUCGGGUUGUAAACCCCUUUCGCUAGGGACGAAGCUUUUUGUGACGGUACCUAGAUAAGAAGCACCGGCUAACUACGUG
rnacentral:rRNA from 1 species